GAUGAACGCUAGCGGCAGGCUUAAUACAUGCAAGUCGAGGGGUAGCAAGAUUGUAGCAAUACAAUUGUUGACGACCGGCAAACGGGUGCGGAACACGUACACAACCUUCCUACAAGUGGGGAAUAGCCCAGAGAAAUUUGGAUUAAUACCCCGUAACAUAGCGAUGUGGCAUCACAUUGCUAUUAUAGCCUCGGCGCUUGUUGAUGGGUGGGAGGCUGCUUAGAUAGCUGCCGGGGUAACGGCCCACCAAGUCUACGAUCAGUAGCUGAUGUGAGAGCAUGAUCAGCCACACGGGCAAUGGAACACGGGCCCGACUCCUACGGGAGGCAGCAGUAAGGAAUAUUGGACAGUGGGCGCAAGUCUGAUCCAGCCAUGCCGCGUGAAGGAUUAAGGUCCUCUGGAUUGUAAACUUCUUUUAUAAGGGACGAAAAAAGGUCUUUCUAGAUCGUCUGACGGUACCUUAUGAAUAAGCACCGGCUAACUCCGUGCCAGCAGCCGCCGUAACAC
rnacentral:rRNA from 1 species